rnacentral:lncRNA from 1 species
GGUACAGAGAAAAGGGUGAUUGUUUUGAAUCAUACGAAUAUAAUGACACCUAAUUAAGGGAAGAAUGAAAAUUUUGAUGCAUUUUAUAACCUAGGGUAAAAUCAUCUUUUCCGUUGGCCGUUGCCUGCUGUUACAAGCAAAAAAUUGAUCGAAGUGGCACCUGGGGAAAGAAAAAUUUCAUACAAGGGUACUGAGGAGCUUUUUCAAACAUCAAUGGUAUACAAGUCAUUUUGAAUUUUUAUAAUGGCACACGGGUAAAAAGCUCUACUAUGUUAGGAAGCACCUGAUUCUGAUGCGUUCAUCAUGUUCCCGUUCUUGCAUAGUUGAUGGUUUCAUGUGCGGCAAUAGAGACUUCACAAGUGUUUUCAUCACAAUGGCCAUCAUGGUCACCUGACAUGGCUAUAUUCUAACGCUGCCAGGGCUCUACGAGGCUGCAACGCACAUUCGCCAACUAAUAGCUC